CAGUCGCCACGGGAACACGGAGGGUGCAAGCGUUGUCCGGAAUUAUUGGGCGUAAAGAGCUCGUAGGUGGUCUGUCACGUCGGCUGUGAAAACCUGGGGCUCAACCCCGGGCCUGCAGCCGAUACGGGCAGACUAGAGUUCGGCAGGGGAGACUGGAAUUCCUGGUGUAGCGGUGAAAUGCGCAGAUAUCAGGAGGAACACCGGUGGCGAAGGCGGGUCUCUGGGCCGAUACUGACACUGAGGAGCGAAAGCGUGGGGAGCAAACAGGAUUAGAUACCCCAGUAGUCCCUGUCUCUUAUAC
rnacentral:rRNA from 1 species